rnacentral:rRNA from 1 species
CAGCCGCCGCGGUAAUCCGUAGGUGGCAAGCGUUGUCCGGAAUUAUUGGGCGUAAAGGGCUCGCAGGCGGUUUCUUAAGUCUGAUGUGAAAGCCCCCGGCUCAACCGGGGAGGGUCAUUGGAAACUGGGAAACUUGAGUGCAGAAGAGGAGAGUGGAAUUCCACGUGUAGCGGUGAAAUGCGUAGAGAUGUGGAGGAACACCAGUGGCGAAGGCGACUCUCUGGUCUGUAACAGACGCUGAGGAGCGAAAGCGUGGGGAGCGAACAGGAUUAGAUACCCCGGUAGUCCCUGUCUCUUAUAC